AAAAAUAUUGAUUUUCUUUAAACAUAUAAGAUUAUGAAAUUGUUUUGAUUUGUAAAAAUUUCAAUUUUUAAUUUAUCAUUUUCUUAGAUAUAUAUUUUUUUAAAUCUAUCUUUGAAUAUGAGAAAAAAUUAUAUAAAAAUGGUAAAUUACAGCUGUCAUAAAUGAUCAAUGUUUUCCUAUGAUCCAUUUCUAUGUCCUUCCUUUCUAACAACAUUAAUGGUUAUGUUUUCUCCCUCGUUUCCUUCUAUUAUUUUCUUCUUGUGUUCAUCUCUACUAUUAUUACUCUUCUUCAUCUCCAUCUCCACUAGUUCAUUCGUGGUGAUAUCUGUAAAACCAUAAUAAAUUUGCUUAAUGCAUGUGAUAGCGGAAUGAAACAUGCCCAAAUUGAAACACGAGGAGGUAAUAGCUCUUGUAAUUUUAUGAUGGCCUUUUAUGUACUAAGUUAAUGUUUAUUUGGACUUUAGAGGGAGGGUAAGAGUUAGUGAGGGUGAUAUUAACCCCUUUAAUUGUAUUUUGUUUACCUAUCCCUUAUCAGGGAAGGAGGGGGGAGAGGGCGGCUAUAGAGAAGAAAAAAAAAUAUUUUUUUAAUUUUCUUAACAUUUGUCACUAGCUAAAUUGCGAUAAUAUAAUAAAUAAAUACCUUUUGUAUUUGGAAAAAUUACUAUUUAGAUCUCUGUAUUUUAGAGACUAUUUAGUCUUUGUAUUUUGAAAAAUAUAUUAUUUACUCUCCAUAUUUGCUUCCGUUAAACUCUUUAGUCCUUUCGUCAAAUUUUCUGUUAGUCAAUGGAUUUUAAUGCUAGUCAAAUUACUAUUUCAUUAUUUUAUUUUAGUGAAA
rnacentral:misc_RNA from 1 species